UACGUAGGGUGCGAGCGUUAAUCGGAAUUACUGGGCGUAAAGCGUGCGCAGGCGGUGAGCUGUGUCCGAUGUGAAAGCCCCGGGCUUAACCUGGGAAUGGCAUUGGAAACUGGACUCGGCUGGAGUUGUGGCAGAGGGGGGUGGAAUUCCGCGUGGUAGCAGGUGAAAUGCGUAGAGAAUGCGGAGGAACACCUAUAGCGAAGGCAGCUUACUGGGCGUGUAACUGACGCUGAGCACGAAAGUGUGGGGAUCGAAACAGGG
rnacentral:rRNA from 1 species